rnacentral:lncRNA from 1 species
GUGUCAUGGGGUCAUGGAUGCUGGUGUGGAUUCUGUGCGCCACAGUCACUCUGAUGCCUGUGUGUCUUCACGGAGCAAUAUCGGUCCACUUCAAGACCGGACGGCCUCUCUAUGUGGCUCUCGGCGAAACUCUUGUUUUGGAAGCCGUAUUCAAGAAGGACUCAGGUGACAAAAUAGACAUGGUGUCGUGGGACCGCGAGGGAGCAAAGGACAAUGUCAGACUGUCACAUGGAAACAGAAUAUCUUUGGAGAAUGGAGAUACACUUCUGCGGGUCACUGAUGUUGCAGAAGAGGACAUUGCGACCUACAAAGUCACCGUUACAGACAGUAACGGAUACCAGCAACAAGACUCCAUAGAUGUUAAAAACAUAGUUUCAGGGGAACCUCCAAAGGCGUCAAUUACACGUGUGCUGGAGUGUGUCGUGGAUAAUCAUGGCUUGGCCCAGUGGGACAGCCCUCAGUUUUCAUGGCUGGUUGAUGGUGUUAAAGUAACCAAUCAAUCCGCACUGUUAACAAACGGCAGUAGACUAGAUAUCUCUGGGGUUAAGGGUGUUAACUACACCUGCAUCAUCAAGAGCAGCCUGGGGACGCUCACAACGCAUUUUGAAAUGCCAACAGAUUUUUGUCUUGUGUCUCAUCAGAAUCUGAGCGCUGUUGUGCUGGACUGAUUGCAGUUGGAGUGAUAACAGGAAUAGCACUUGUGGCCGGGUGAGACCUCUUCUCUCUUCUACGGGCUCAUUAUAUGUCUGUUUAAGGGCUGGGUGAUAGAUAUUGAAUAUUUACAAUAGAUAUGUGAAUAUUACCAUCAUUUAAAUGCACUUUUUAUUUGGCUGUGUGUGAGCACGUACUUAAUUAGUCUCAGGAGGACUCUAGCCUUCAGCACAAAUUGUAUAAGAGUGAAAUAUUUGAAAACGCUGCUUUAGCUUUUCUUUUCUGUUAUCAUGUGAUUUAAAAAAAAUAUAUAUAUUAACAUUUGGAUUUGCAUGAAUGAAAAUAAUGACAUCAAAUAAUACUGAAAGGCUGAAAAAUAAAUUCAGAUAAUAAUGUUUUUAGCUACAUCUCCCAGCCCUUAGUCUGUUUACUAAAAGUCCUUUUCACAUUAUCUUUUUAUUUCAGAUCAAUUUUCCUGAUGAAGUACAAAAAAACCUCUAAACAUGAAGCUGUCUCUACUAAGUCAACAUAGAAGAUUGUAUUAUAUUUAUUUACAUGUUAAUGUACCUGUAAACAUUUUAAAUAGAUCAUUUUGUUUUGUUCUAUUGGAUAAAGUUAUUGCUAUAUGUCUUGUUCAUUGAUUCGUUCUGUCCAUUUGACCAAACUAUAAAAAUGUAAGCUGUUAAAAUGGAUCUUUAAGAUAUAAGCUGCAAAAAAUGGAUAUCAUUGCUAUUUAUUUUCUCUCUACCUCAUUUGUUCUAUUUAGUUUGCUGUUUGAGUUUCUGCAGUUUUUUUGCAUUUGCAUUCAAGUUUGUUCAGAGAAUUAAAGUGUCCAAACUGAUCUUGAGCGUGGAGCAUGAUUUAGAGAAGAUCUGUUUGUUUGUUUGUUUGUUUGUUUGUUGUGCUCGGCGUUCAGACCAGUCCUGUAGAGACACAAACAACAUCGCUCUAGUGUUUUUCAGGAUAAAUGCAUCUCUUUCAGGAACUUAUGAGUGGUGAGUUAUGAAAAGCAUUCAGGGAUCUCACUCAUAAAGUUACUGUGUCUGAACUUUGGUCACGUUUAAUGCAUGAGCACGACUACAGCGAUUCAUUAGAGGACUGUCCUGCUUCUGUACAUCUGCUGUGAGUUCUUGAUAUGUUUAUGUAGAUUGUUUUUCAUGGCUCUCUGGAAUUCUUUAUUCUGAUUGGCCAGCUGCAGAUUGUGUUUUUAGUUUUAUUUCUUAUUUUAAUAAAUGCUGCUCUGUUUAACAUUCUAUUCAUCGAUGAAUCCAGAAAAAUGUACAACGGUUUACACAUUAAUAAAAAAAUUAUCAUAAUAAGAAAUAUUUGUUGAGCAGCAAAUGACAAUUUGAUAUUAUGGUUUUACGGAUAUUUAAAUUACUUUUUAAGAUUUAAAUUUUUUGGCUACCAUAAACAAUCUACAGAAG